AGCUCGGGAGCUAGGGAACUGAUUGAGACACACCCUUUGUUAAUAUCCACCUGCGCCUCCAUUUUGUAUUCUAACGUACAUUACGCUGUGAGGAAACCGCUGCAAAUGAAACAGUGCGUCACGUGAGUGAACUGUUCAAAUGAAUCAAACUGAAUCGUGAACAAUAUGACCUUCUCGCGAACCGUUCGCCGGAUUAGAUCCAAUUAAGAGUGAUUUAUUCGCGAUCUGGCAUUGCUAAUUAUAAUGGCACUCGUAGCUUUUCUUAAUGAUCGUGGCUUAAUCGUGGUAGCUGAGAAUAAAAGAUAUUGCUGAAGUUCAUCUUCUGAUAUUGGAUUCCAGCGCCUCAAAUAUUCAGCUGGAGGUGAUUUCAUUCUGGCCACAGAGAGACAAAUGUCAGAAAUCUCUACAUUUUAUGUGAAACCGGAGCGCUAUCGUUGACAUUUUCUGCGGAUCCUUGGCGGACGCUAUCAAAGCUUUUUGGUUGUGUUUCAGGACACAUGCUGUGGGAGGCUGCAGACGUUGCACGACUGUUUACAAGGAUCUGUCAUUCAUUCUAAAUGAGUAACUCACCCAGACCCUUCUGAGGAGCCGGAGACCUGAACUCCAUCAGCAACUGCAGGAAGGGCUUCUCAGGACUGACCUCAUAAUACCUGAUGUUUCCGUCACCCUGUGGACGUCAGAUGAUCUCGACGCUGGUGGCCAGUAAACUUCCAUCAGUGUUGAAGGACAUACAGAGGACGACGUCUGGAUGGCUGUCAAUCAUCUUCACAGCCACGCCCUCUUCCAGAUUCCAAAUCAGAAUCUGUUCCGUAAACAACAAAAUAUCACCA